GCCUGGGUGGCUCAGUCGGUUAAGUGUCUGACUUCGGCUCAGGUCAUGAUCUCGCGGUUCGUGAGUUCAAGCCCCGCAUCAGGCU
rnacentral:tRNA from 1 species